UUACUCUGGUUUCUCCUCAUUUUUCGUGUAAAUCUUUCGCCUUUUACUAAAGAUUUCCGUGGGGAGGAACAACUUAAUGAGUCUAUAGACAAUUUCUUUAACCCUCUACCGGCAUGACGUGU